rnacentral:rRNA from 1 species
GACGAACGCUGGCGGCGUGCUUAACACAUGCAAGUCGAACGAAGAGCGAUGGAAGCUUGCUUCUAUCAAUCUUAGUGGCGGACGGGUGAGUAACGCGUAAUCAACCUUCCCUUCAGAGGGGGACAACAGUUGGAAACGACUGCUAAUACCGCAUACGAUCUAAUCUCGGCAUCGAGGAUAGAUGAAAGGUGGCCUGUACAUGUAAGCUAUCACUGAAGGAGGGGAUUGCGUCUGAUUAGCUAGUUGGAGGGGUAACGGCCCACCAAGGCGAUGAUCAGUAGCCGGUCUGAGAUGAUGAACGGCCACAUUGGGACUGAGACACGGCCCAGACUCCUACGGGAGGCAGCAGUGGGGAAUCUUCCGCAAUGGACGAAAGUCUGACGGAGCAACGCCGCGUGAGUGAUGACGGCCUUCGGGUUGUAAAGCUCUGUUAAUCGGGACGAAAGGCCUUCUUGCGAAUAGUGAGAAGGAUUGACGGUACCGGAAUAGAAAGCCACGGCUAACUACGUG